CCUCUCACAGACCUGCCGAGAAGCCCCCUGAUUGACUCCCUGCUUUCCUGGACCUCUUGUUGAGGUUACUCAGAGCACAAGCUCUAAACAAAGUAACCAAGACAGAUAAAAGUCAAAUUCAGGACUGCAGAAUUUAGAAUCAGAGAAUUAAGCUCAUCCAAGUCAAAUUUUGACAAAUGAGGAAACCAAGACCCAAUGACCUGAUGUGACUUGACCAAAGAUGAAGAAGAAAAGAAGAAUUACUUUCGCAUAAUGAGUCAAAGGGCAGGAACAGUUUUCAAGUGGAGAAUUGCAAACAAUUAAAAAUCACAUUAAAAUGUUCCAAAUCACCAAUAAGAGAUUCAGUAUGAGACAAGUAAUUUUUAUAAAUUAAAACUGACUCAGCAAAUGUGAUAAAGGACAAAAGUAAUCAGUGCUAUGUGUGGUCAGGGAAGGUUAUAUGCUAAUAUGCUGCUGGGGGAGCUACGAAUUGGUCCAACCAUUUUGGAAAACAAUUUGCAGGUGUGAGAAAAGCCACUGGAAGGUCCAUACCCUUUGCCCAGAAGUCUUAAUAUGAGGUGUAUGAUCCAAGGAUGUCAAA